rnacentral:rRNA from 1 species
GAUGAACGCUGGCGGCGUGCCUAAUACAUGCAAGUCGAGCGAACAGACGAGGAGCUUGCUCCUCUGACGUUAGCGGCGGACGGGUGAGUAACACGUGGAUAACCUACCUAUAAGACUGGGAUAACUUCGGGAAACCGGAGCUAAUACCGGAUAAUAUAUUGAACCGCAUGGUUCAAUAGUGAAAGACGGUUUUGCUGUCACUUAUAGAUGGAUCCGCGCCGCAUUAGCUAGUUGGUAAGGUAACGGCUUACCAAGGCAACGAUGCGUAGCCGACCUGAGAGGGUGAUCGGCCACACUGGAACUGAGACACGGUCCAGACUCCUACGGGAGGCAGCGGUAGGGAAUCUUCCGCAAUGGGCGAAAGCUUGACGGAGCGACGCCGCGUGAGUGAUGAAGGUCUUCGGAUCGUAAAACUCUGUUAUUAGGGAAGAACAAAUGUGUAAGUAACUAUGCACGUCUUGACGGUACCUAAUCAGAAAGCCACGGCUAACUACGUG